AAGCAACGCGAAGAACUAACCAGGCCUUGACAUGCAGAGAACUUUCCAGAGAUGGAUGGUGCCUUCGGGAACUCUGACACAGGUGCUGCAUGGCUGUCGUCAGCUCGUGCGUGAGAUGUUGGGUUAAGUCCGUAACGAGCGCAACCCUUGUCCUUAGUUACCAGCACGCUAUGGUGGGCACUCUAAGGAGACUGCCGGUGCAAACCGGAGGAAGGUGGGGAUGACGUCAAGUCAUCAUGGCCCUUACGGCCUGGGCUACACACGUGCUACAAUGGUCGGUACAAAGGGUUGCCAAGCCGCGAGGUGGAGCUAAUCCCAUAAAACCGAUCGUAGUCCGGAUCGCAGUCUGCAACUCGACUGCGUGAAGUCGGAAUCGCUAGUAAUCGUGAAUCAGAAUGUCACGGUGAAUACGUUCCCGGGCCUU
rnacentral:rRNA from 1 species